rnacentral:rRNA from 1 species
UUGCUCUUCAACGAGGAAUGCCUAGUAAGCGCAAGUCAUCAGCUUGCGUUGAUUACGUCCCUGCCCUUUGUACACACCGCCCGUCGCUACUACCGAUUGAAUGGCUCAGUGAGGCCUUGGGACUGGCUCAGAGAGGUCGGCAACGACCACUCAGAGCCGGAAACUUGGUCAAACUUGGUCAUUUAGAGGAAGUAAAAGUCGUAACAAGGUUUCCGUAGGUGAACCUGCGGAAGGAUCAUUACCGAGUUAGGGCCCUCUCGGGCUCGACCUCCUACCCUCUGUCUACCUUACCUUUUGUUGCUUCGGCGGACCCGUCCUCUAGGGGACCGCCGGAGAGCUCACGCUCUCUGGCCCGCGUCCGCCGGUGGCCCACAACCAAAACUCUUGUUUAAACGUGUCGUCUAAGUACAAAAACAAAUAAGUAAAAACUUUCAACAACGGAUCUCUUGGUUCUGGCAUCGAUGAAGAACGCAGCGAAAUGCGAUAAGUAAUGCGAAUUGCAGAAUCCGUGAGUCAUCGAAUCUUUGAACGCACAUUGCGCCCUUUGGUAUUCCGAAGGGCAUGCCUGUUCGAGCGUCAUUAUCACCCCUCAAGCUCCGGCUUGGUGUUGGGCUUCGAGAUAGUUAUAUCACGGGCCUCAAAGAUAGUGACGGCGUCCCAGAUGGAACCGGUACGAGGAGCUUUUAACCAAGCAUGUACGCGGCGUGAAUCUGCGGGCGGCGGUCUUUAACCACUACUCUUCGGAGUACUUUCAAGUGUUGACCUCGGAUCAGGUAGGGAUACCCGCUGAACUUAAGCAUAUCAAUAAGCGGAGGA